AACGUAGGUGGCGAGCGUUAUCCGGAAUUACUGGGCGUAAAGCGUGUGCAGGCGGGUCGUCAAGUGGUGUAUGAAAUCUCCCGGCUCAACCGGGAUAGGUUAUGCCAGACUGACGGUCUAGAGGCUGAGAGAGGAGCGUGGAAUUCCGGGUGUAGUGGUGAAAUGCGUAGAGAUCCGGAGGAAGACCGGUGGCGAAGGCGGCCUGCUGGGCAGUUACUGACACUGAGGCGCGACAGCGUGGGGAGCAAACAGG
rnacentral:rRNA from 1 species